CCUACGGGAGGCAGCAGUAGGGAAUUUUCGGCAAUGGGCGAGAGCCUGACCGAGCAACGCUGCGUGACUGAUGACGGCCUUCGGGUUGUAAAGGUCUGUUGUAAGGGAAGAACGUUAUAUAGAAAAUAUAUAAGUGACGGUACCUUACGAGGAAGCCACGGCUAACUACGUGCCAGCAGCCGCGGUAAU
rnacentral:rRNA from 1 species